CUCCUACGGGAGGCAGCAGUGGGGAAUAUUGGACAAUGGGCGAAAGCCUGAUCCAGCCAUGCCGCGUGUGUGAAGAAGGUCUUCGGAUUGUAAAGCACUUUAAGUUGGGAGGAAGGGCAUUUACCUAAUACGUAAGUGUUUUGACGUUACCGACAGAACAAGCACCGGCUAACUCUGUGCCAGCAGCCGCGGUAAUACAGAGG
rnacentral:rRNA from 1 species